AUAGUUUAGUAAUUCAGUUUAAAACAGAUAACGUUGAUAUGAGGAAGAAACGUGUACGUUUUAAAUAAAUAAUCGUUUGUUGUAAAAGUUGGAAUCAAACUGAUGCUUUUAAUAUCAUGUUUAGAUCAUGAAACGUUAGCCUUGAGUUCACAGACAGGGUAUCACAACAGAUAUUGUGAACUCUCAUUUGGUCUGUGUAAGUUACAGACAUUUUUGUCUUUUUUCAAAUGUUUUUGAUGAUGCCCACUUAAAUCACAGUUUUGGCUCGUUUCCACAGACCCUGAUGAAUAAAAGAUGGAUAUUUUUUCCUGGAGAAGCUAAAACAAUGUAACUUUGAGGUUCUGAUACCAGCUUUUACAAAGUUAUUUACAGAGUUCACAAGACUUCUCUGUGUUAUUUCCUGACCAUGCCGAAACUUGGGCACUGCAUUUUACAGACAAUCCUGCAACUUCCCAGCCAAGAACCAGGAGCAUCAACAAAUCACCUCCAGGUACACUUGGGAAUACAAUAGUUGUUUGCUGAGUAUUAUGACAAUAAAGUUACUAAUUUAACCUAAACAUUUUUCUCUACAGAACCCCAUGAUGAUAUUUCAAGUCCUGUCUACAAAAGUGGGAAGAAAAUCUUAAGUCCUACGUUGGGACCAACAUGGUUGCAUUCUUCUGAGAGGCUGAGGUGACAAAACCAUUCCCUUUUGUCCUUGGCUUGGAAGAUGACGAUCUCUGCCAUCAAGCCUUCGUUGUUUUGACAGACAGUCACUCCAGCAAUACACCCUCCUUGGUGAUGUUGACAUGUUUUAAACUUUUUUAUGUUUUGGACAUUCAUUUUACUAAGCAGUGCACAUCAGUGUGGGUGUUUUUGAAGACUGUUGUUUACAAACUCCCAAGAACGGAAUCCCUUUCUAUAAGAAGUCUGUGUAGUUAUUUGUCAUGCUAAGGUGAUAACUCAUGUUGAUCAUAUAUUGACUGUUUGUGCAACUUUGUGUUGAUCUUAUGUGUUACAUUAACCAUUUCUUAUUACACGGUUCUCUAAAAUGCUAGUUUCUGAUUGGCCAGUCGUGACAUUCUACUACUGCUCAAAACUAAAAACUCCAAUGCUGCAAAUCAUUUUGACAGGUACAGUUUUAUAUUACACAAAAAUUAAAUAUCAAUGUCUAUUAAUUACAUAUCCGACAUUAAAUUUACAAAUUAUUAAACCAAUGUGUUCGUGACAUUUGUCCUGAAGAAACUGUUGGGGCUUUUUUCUGUGAUGACAUGCUGCCAAUACAUUAUCCCUUACUUGUACAACUUUUUACUUGAUCUAAUUGUAAUGUUAACUGGGUAUCUGUCAUUUUAGAUUGUGAGAUAUAAUACUAAUAUAUAUUUUUUUAUCAGAAAGUUGAUUGUUUGUGUAGGGCUAUGUACUCUUUUAUUGUUCAUGUGCAAUAAAUAUGCU